GUGUGCGUGUGGGGGCGCGUGUGCGCGCGCACGCGGGCGCAUGCCCGUGUCCGCGGGUCAAGCCUUCUCCACAGAAAAAAGGACUAGACUGCUCAGCUGUUUGUCAUCACUUGAAGACCUGUCUAUCAACAAAAUCUAUCAGGCAAAGAUAAUAACAGGAAAUUCAUUAGUGACACCUCCCACCCUGCUAAUGCCCUAUUCCAACAACUACCAUCAGGAAACGGUCACGGGGAGCCUGUGCCUAUCCCAGGCGUCAUCGGGGAUCAAUGCAGGAUACAC